GACAGAGGGUGCAAACGUUGUUCGGAAUUACUGGGCGUAAAGCGCGUGUAGGCGGCUCGGAAAGUCGGGUGUGAAAGCCCUGGACUUAACCCAGGAAGUGCACUCGAAACUUCCGAGCUGGAGUCCUGGAGAGGAAGGCGGAAUUCUCGGUGUAGAGGUGAAAUUCGUAGAUAUCGAGAGGAAUACCGGUGGCGAAGGCGGCCUUCUGGACAGUGACUGACGCUGAGACGCGAAAGCGUGGGGAGCAAACAGG
rnacentral:rRNA from 1 species